rnacentral:lncRNA from 1 species
UCAAAAUCAUUAAUCAAAAUUUUGAGUGCCUUUCAUCCAUAAAGUCGACAGAUACUACUGCAAGGAAUCCUACACAUACUAUUACAAGGAAUCCUUCAAGACAAGCAACAUGAUCUCAUAGGACCUGAAAUAUAAAUUUUCAAUAUCGAAACUAAUUAUUCUACUAGUCUAACACUAGAAAAUAAAAAUAUAUAUAUAUAAUCAGGCUCCCACCAUAUUCUAGAUUGCAUCAAUCAUGAAAUCCAUCUUUCAAAACAAAGGAAUCUGCAAGUACAAAAAAUAUACAUCAAUUAAUAAACAAAAAUUAAUGUACAAGAACAUUUCUGCCAAGUGAACAUUUGAAAAUACAAAAUAACAUAAGAUCUCUCUAAAAGAUUACUACUCUUUAGUAAGAGCCAGAAACAGAAGAUAAACUUCAAAACUACAUACUCACGUACUUCAAAUACAAACCCAAGAUAACAACAAAUAAUUUGAAUUGCUUCAGAAGACUGAUAGAAUGAUUCAUAUCCAACAAUAUAUAUAAAGUAGAAUUCUUAACCAUUUAAACUGUAACUUCAUCAACUUGUUAUGUUCGACUCCUUCAAUUAAUCCAACAAUAUGAAGCAGUACUCUUGACCAUUUAAAAAUCAAACUUUAUCAAUUUGCUUACUUCUACUCCAAGUAAUAAAUAAAUAUACAUGAUCAACUCAUAUAGGCCGGUCAAACAAAUAAAUCAGAAUGUUCUAUUUAGCUUCGUUGAAAUUCAAUGGUCAAUGAGCAAGUGUAACAAAACAAACGGUUACUCUUUCAUUUUUAUUCUCCAAAAAAAUUAAUAUUCUCUAAAUAUCAACAACUAAUAACCAAAUAUGACGGCCAGAACCACCAAAAGUUGAUGAUUAACGAGAAAAAUACAAUUUACAGAAAAUAAGGAAAAAAGAAAACAUCACAAUGAAAGAGGGCAAUUCAAUAUGCACUCUACGAUUACAUGAAUAUAAUCGUAGGGGGAAUCAUUGAAGUGUUUUUUAACCUACCAUCAAGAAUCUCAAUUCAUUAAGUCCUCAGAAACAUAAACAAGUUAUAGAAGACAAGAAAAAAAAAACAUACCAAAGAAAAGGCCAAUCGAUAUAUACUUCAAGACCCUUUAAAUUGCUCUUGCCUCGUUUUCACUCGGUAGUGAGAUUCAAUACCUUCUGGUAAAAAUAAAUAAGAUAACUAGAGAGAUAAGCAUAAGGCAAACAUAAACUAUAAUUUCUUGCCGUGUUUCUAGUUUAAAUCAGAGCCCUCGAGAAUUAUUCUUGUAUGAAAUAUAACAUAAAAUAUAAAGAAAAUGCGCAAGUUAAACAAAAAAUUAAGUAACAUUAAAUGAUAAAUAGUCCUUGAGGCCCUAAACACAAAAACGAAAUAUUAGGCUUACAAAGAACUAUAAUCGAAAGAAAAAACUACCUGAAAACUUACCGACAUUGGCUAUCUUUAAAGCCAUAGGUAAUUAUCGACAUGGUACUUUUACUUGUAGAAAAUCUGACCUUAGUACCGUCAAAAUUAUAAGAACAUAGACAUCAAAACACACAUUCAUACAAUACGGAGGAUUGCAGGCAAUGAGAAAAUUGAGUGUUUCUAGAUUCCCAAUGUAUAGAAUACAUUUUCCUGCUAAAUGACACAGAUAUAAAUUAAGACAAAGAAAUAGAAAAAGAAAUAGAAUUACAUUAGAAGCAGAGACAUUCUUUGUUGGUGGUAGAAGAGAACAAAUGAUAAAAUUCUAUUUUUUUUUUUCUAAACAUUCAUCACAAACUAGUAUUUUGCUAAAAUUGUUUCAUUUAUUCAGCAUGAACGAAUUAAAAUUGCUAAAUUCUAAUUUAAAACAUAUAAAAUUUUAAUUUAUUUAAUGUAAUACAAUUUCUCCUCUUCCCACAAUUACCAUAUCCCAUGUCGAACAACCACAAGGAUCAAUAGCCAACAUAUCCAUAUUGAACUAUUUAUCACCAUAAAUUAGGGGUUUAGGGUUUGGAUUUCAAUUAUUAGGAUGAAAAGAGUUCGUAAGGAUGGGCGUUGAAUCCAUUACCGUAACAAAGGGAAUUGAUCGGAUUACCUUCGAACAAAGUGUUUUUUUCUUCUUCUGCAUCGUUGCUUCUUCUGUGCCGUUGCUCGAAGAAAAACCACAAAGUAGGUUUUUUCUCUAACAAUAGAGUUUGAGUUGGGAACUCGAUCGACUGGGGUGAAAAUAAU